rnacentral:rRNA from 1 species
AGUGAACGCUGGCGGUAGGCCUAACACAUGCAAGUCGAACGGCAGCACAGUAAGAGCUUGCUCUUACGGGUGGCGAGUGGCGGACGGGUGAGGAAUACAUCGGAAUCUACUUUUUCGUGGGGGAUAACGUAGGGAAGCUUACGCUAAUACCGCAUACGACCUACGGGUCAAAGCAGGGGAUCUUCGGACCUUGCGCGAUUGAAUGAGCCGAUGUCGGAUUAGCUAGUUGGCGGGGUAAAGGCCCACCAAGGCGACGAUCCGUAGCUGGUCUGAGAGGAUGAUCAGCCACACUGGAACUGAGACACGGUCCAGACUCCUACGGGAGGCAGCAGUGGGGAAUAUUGGACAAUGGGCGCAAGCCUGAUCCAGCCAUACCGCGUGGGUGAAGAAGGCCUUCGGGUUGUAAAGCCCUUUUGUUGGGAAAGAAAAGCAGCAGGUUAAUACCCCGCUGUUCUGACGGUACCCAAAGAAUAAGCACCGGCUAACUUCGUG